rnacentral:lncRNA from 1 species
CUGGGGGAUGUCCCCUGGCUCUCGGGAUCCCAGGGACAUCCCAGCAGGCUGGGACGCAGAGACCGGCAGCGAUUCGGAGGACGGGCUGCGGCCUGACGUGCUGGUGUCUCUCGCGGCGCCCAAGCGCUGCGCUGGCCGCUUCUCCGGGCGCCACCACUUCGUGGCCGGCAGGUUCGUGCCCGAUGACGUGCGCCGCAAGUUCGCUCUGCGCCUGCCG